UUGAACGCUGGCGGCAGGCCUAACACAUGCAAGUCGAGCGGAUGAAGGGAGCUUGCUCCUGGAUUCAGCGGCGGACGGGUGAGUAAUGCCUAGGAAUCUGCCUGGUAGUGGGGGAUAACGUCCGGAAACGGGCGCUAAUACCGCAUACGUCCUGAGGGAGAAAGUGGGGGAUCUUCGGACCUCACGCUAUCAGAUGAGCCUAGGUCGGAUUAGCUAGUAGGUGGGGUAAAGGCCUACCAAGGCGACGAUCCGUAACUGGUCUGAGAGGAUGAUCAGUCACACUGGAACUGAGACACGGUCCAGACUCCUACGGGAGGCAGCAGUGGGGAAUAUUGGACAAUGGGCGAAAGCCUGAUCCAGCCAUGCCGCGUGUGUGAAGAAGGUCUUCGGAUUGUAAAGCACUUUAAGUUGGGAGGAAGGGCAGUAAGUUAAUACCUUGCUGUUUUGACGUUACCAACAGAAUAAGCACCGGCUAACUUCGUG
rnacentral:rRNA from 1 species